rnacentral:rRNA from 1 species
GGCGAACGCUGGCGGCGUGCUUAACACAUGCAAGUCGAACGGUGAAGCGCCUUCCUUUUUGGUGGGUGUGGAUGAGUGGCGAACGGGUGAGUAACACGUGAGUAACCUGCCCCCUUCUUCUGGAUAACCGCAUGAAAGUGUGGCUAAUACGGGAUAUUCUGGGUCUGUCGCAUGAUGGGUCUGGGAAAGAUAUUGUUUCGGUGGGGGAUGGGCUCGCGGCCUAUCAGCUUGUUGGUGGGGUGAUGGCCUACCACGGCGGUGACGGGUAGCCGGCCUGAGAGGGUGGCCGGUCACACUGGGACUGAGACACGGCCCAGACUCCUACGGGAGGCAGCAGUGGGGAAUAUUGCACAAUGGGCGCAAGCCUGAUGCAGCGACGCCGCGUGAGGGAUGGAGGCCUUCGGGUUGUGAACCUCUUUCGCCAGUGAAGCAGGCCUGCCUCGUUUGUGGGUGGGUUGACGGUAGCUGGAUAAGAAGCGCCGGCUAACUACGUG